CACUUUCAUUAAACUUGUUAGAAAACAAUUUGGAGCAUCUUUGUAUAUUUUAACAAAAAUUAUUUUGUUAUUGAUGUGAUUCUCUCAAACUGUAAAUUUUGUCACUUUUGCCACAAAGUCACAAGUCUGUCACAUUUCUCCGUGAUUGACAGAGAGCCCUUGAUUUAGGCCAGCUGUUGGAAUGCUGUGCAUUUACUGCUAAAGCUUUCUGGAGGCCUCGGCUAUCACAUUUUCAUUGAAUGUGAAUUCCUUUUUGUACGUGUACAUAUUGUACAGAGAACAGAAGAGCUCACAGCAGCCUCUAAACGGCAUCUGUUCUUUAUAGUGAGAUGAAGAAGCUGCAGAAGGUUUGUGGAAACUUGCUGAAGCUUGUUGUCACUUAGCAGGAAGUGUUUAGAAGUUUGCGAAGAACAGAAUUACAAUUUGUCAAAUGUUGCAAACUUCGCAAUGAGCACACAAUGUUUGAUUGCACCGUUGCUCUAAAUAGGAUUGCAUUCUAUGUACUUUCAAAAUGACCAACUUUCUUUUUUGGUAAAAUACAAAAAAUUCCUGCACAGGAAUUCACAGUCACUCAGGCUUGCAAGAAAUUCUUAAGCCAAUGAAGUGCUGGAGUCAAUGCUUUAUCAUGUGGAUCUGCACAGAAGAGCACUUUGUUUAGAACUCUCCACACCUACUCAGGAUUCAUCCUUUAAUCUUUAUAUGUGCUGAGCUAGCUAGAGGCUAAGAGGACUCGCACAUGGAAUUUAACAGCAACAUUUGGAGAGUCAUCCGCUGACUAAAUAGGCCUCUGGAGUUUGGAAGGAUUUCUCUUUAUUUUUUCCUGUUGGCAAGAUAUAAUUUGAAACUCAACUGGCAUAUCAGAAGAAACCAAGAGUCCAAGGUUAGUCUAGAAAGAUCUGGAUCUGUCAAUACUCAUAGAUGGAUUGUUACCAGAUGGCAAAAGUUCACCAGAAGAAAAUGUAAGCUACUCCCAGGAUAA
rnacentral:lncRNA from 1 species